AAAAAUCAAUAAAAUAUAUAUAUAUAUAUAUUUUAAAUAGGAAGCCAUUAACUCUGCCUGAAAUAUUUCCAAAAUUAUUUUUGGCUAUCAAUUAUGUCAACAUGAAUCAUUUCAGAGAGGCCUAUAGAUGCUACAUACAAUAACUUAAGCCAUCUACACUCUCUCAU